rnacentral:rRNA from 1 species
UACAGAGGGUGCAAGCGUUGUUCGGAAUUAUUGGGCGUAAAGCGCGUGUAGGCGGCUUUGCAAGUCGGGUGUGAAAGCCCUCAGCUCAACCGAGGAAGUGCGCCCGAAACUGCAGAGCUUGAGUGCCGGAGAGGGUAGCGGAAUUCCCCAAGUAGAGGUGAAAUUCGUAGAUAUGGGGAGGAACACCGGUGGCGAAGGCGGCCACCUGGACGGUAACUGACGCUGAGACGCGAAAGCGUGGGGAGCAAACAGG